CCUGCCAGUAGUCAUAUGCUUGUUUUAAAGAUUAAGCCAUGCAUGUCUAAGUAUAAGCAAAAAUACAGCAAAACUGCAAAUGGCUCAUUAAAACAGUUAUUGUUUACUUGAUAAUAAUUUUUACAUGGAUAACCGUGGUAAUUCUACAGCUAAUACAUGAGCAAAAUCUAAACUUUAUUAGAAGAGACGCAUUUAUUAGAUAAAAAGCCAGUUCAUGCUUUUACAGUAUGAAAAUUGGUGAUUUAUAAUAACUUAGCAAAUCGCAAAGUGAAAACAGGCGAUAAAUCAUUCAAGUUUCUGACCUAUCAGCUUUCGACGGUAUGGUAUUGGCUUACCGUGGCAGUGACGGUUAACGGGGGAUUAGGGUUCGAUUCCGGAGAGGGAGCCUGAGAAACGGCUACCACAUCUAAGGAAGGCAGCAGGCGCGCAAAUUACCCAAUUCUAACAGUUUGAGAGAGGUAGUAACAAGAAAUAACAAUACAAGGCAGUUAAAAUGCUUUGUAAUUGGAAUGAUAGAAAUUUAAACCCUUUUAAAAGUAUCAAUUGGAGGGCAAGUCUGGUGCCAGCAGCCGCGGUAAUUCCAGCUCCAAUAGCGUAUAUUAAAAUUGUUGCAGUUAAAAAGCUCGUAGUUGAAGUUCUGCUGAAAGUAACCGGUCUGCUUUUAAUAAAAGUGGUAUCUUGGUAUGUAUUUAGCAAUGAUGUCCUUUGAAGUGUUUUUUACUUUAUUGUAAUAAAGCAUAUUCAGGACUUUUACUUUGAGAAAAUUAGAGUGUUUCUAGCAGGCUAACGCUUUGAAUACUGCAGCAUGGAAUAAUAAGAUAGGAUUUUAGUUCUACAUUAUUGGUUUUAAGAGCUAAAUUAAUGAUGAUA
rnacentral:rRNA from 1 species